AAACUCUAGCCGAAGGGAAAAGAAUGGCUCGAAGUCUUCCUAUAGAUGUCAGUUUGCUUUCGUCGCAUUUGUGACCGGCAUCCACCGUUUGGGGUCUAAAUAAUCCACAUCUGCUGAUUCAAUGGUUAUUACGGAGAGGUUGUCCAAGGAAGAAAUUGGUUGUUUAAAAGAGUGUAGAUUUCAAAUUUGGAGUGGCAUGCCCUUUUGAUUGAUAACUCAAAUAACAGGUAAUAGUUAGUUUGGAGUAACUUUGUAAGUUUUAAUUUUAAGCUAUAUUUGAUUGAAUUCUUUAAGGGCUAAUGUGUUAGUUUAUUUUACACUUUCUUUAUUGCACGCAUGGUGUUUGAUAAAAUGUCUCAGCAAAGGAGAAAGGGAGUCGGUGAACGGGCAUAUGGCAACUUAUUUCUUUGUUUCACAAGUUUUAACAAAUGCAGUAAUUUUGGUAUGUUAGUAUUACUCUUCUAUUCACUGGUGUUAUUAUUUUUCCACUAUCUUUUUGUUAUACGUCGAUUUUGCUGUUGCUCUUUGGUUUCACGGUAGUUAAAAUGAGCAUCAAGCACGCGUACGCAUCGA